rnacentral:rRNA from 1 species
UUCGUAGGUGGCAUGUCAAGUCUGGUGUUAAAGCCCGGGGCUUAACCCCGGUACAGCGCUGGAAACUGACAAGCUAGAGCAUAGCAGAGGCAAGGGGAAUUCCCAGUGUAGCGGUGAAAUGCGUAGAUAUUGGGAGGAACACCAGUGGCGUAGGCGCUUUGCUGGGCUAUUGCUGACGCUGAGGAACGAAAGCCAGGGGAGCGAAUGG